UACGGAGGCAGCGAGCGUUGUUCGGCUUUCCUUUUCUUCCCUUUCUUUUAUUCUUUUUUUUAAUUUUUUUUUUAAAUCUCCCGGCUCAACUGGGAGGGUGCGCCGAAUACUGAAUGACUUCGAGUGCGGGAGAGGAAAGUGGAAUUCCUGGUGUAGCGGUGAAAUGCGUAGAUAUCAGGAGGAACACCGGUGGUGUAGACGGCUUUCUGGACCGUAACUGACGCUGAGACACGAAAGCGUGGGUAGCAAACAGG
rnacentral:rRNA from 1 species